AAAGAAGAUAAAAUCAAACCGACAAAGCAUUAAAUAAAUAAAAAAGUACAAUGCACAACCCACCACCCAAGUAGAUUUUCCGUUCCUUGAGCAUCUGAGCAAAGAAACCCUUCAGUUGCUUUCAUAAAGGCGCUGGGAUUGUCCAAAAAAUCUACAUAACACAUUUCAGAGUUUCUAAAAGGGGCCUUUUAGAAUCGAUGACGACGCUUCAGUGUUUUGAUUAGCCAUACCAAACCUGAAAAGACCCAAAAUAACUCUCCGAUCUCGUUACUGAUUUGCUUCUCCAUCCCAAAUCAUUGAAUCGUCGAUUGAGGUGUCAUUAGGAGCCUAAUUGUUGUCAAUCUACUUCUACUACCUUAUGCGCGAAAGAGGGAAUAGCUCUAGCAAGAUAAGUUUCUACAUUUCUUUUUAGUCCCUCUAUUGCCAAGAGACGUGCAACACCAUUUGCAUGUUUUGACACAUAAUGAAAAACGCAGUGUUGAUACCGCUCGCAUGUUGUUCUUAUGUUACAGAUGUAUGCCCCCAUUACUGACCUUUCGACUCUCUUUUCUUUUAGUUUUCAGAUCACAGCCAAGGAGUCACCUUUGAUUUCCACACUUGAAAACCCAAUUGAAAGCCUGUCUCAGUCGCUUGGAAACAAGCCAUUGCCUCCGCUGCAAAAUGUGAAGAUAUGUUGACAUGCAUUUUAGUUUUUGAACAGAGAACACUACCUGAAUAAUCCCGAAUAAUAAUAUCUGAACAAGAUUUGUUAUUUUGUUGACAAAAUCCUGCGUCAAAGUUUAUUUUAACGAAAUGUUCUUGUGGCAACUUCCAAGACACUAUAGGCAUUCCUGGAACACAUGUUCCAUCAUUUCAACACCAUUGUGACAUCGAGGACAAUUUUCUGAAAUAAUCAGUCUCCCAUAAUUCAAAUUAGCAUAAGUAGAUAGAAAAUUAUUUGUAAUCCUCCAGGCUGUUAUUUUAAUUUUGGAGGGCUGGUCUAGGCUCCAAAGUCUCUUGUACAGAUUAGCGUAGGGAUAGGAAUUUUCUUCAGUAAAAAUUUUCUUGAUGAUUAUGUAUUAACCAUUUGUAAGCAUUGCACACUAUGUACUCCCUUAUUGCUUAUCCAUUCCAAGCUCAAAAAUCCUCAUGUGGAACAUUAGACAGAAGGAUGGCUAAGAUUCGCCUUGCAUCUUCUUCUAUAAGGGUAGAGUGUAUAACAUCCUCCUUCCAUUUCCUUGUUUUCGAAUCAAUUAAAUCUGCCACUGUUUGAAUAGAA